rnacentral:lncRNA from 1 species
AGGGCCUUGGGCAUCCACCUCUUCUGCUGGUUUCUGAUGCUUGGUAGCAGCAUAAUCAAGAGAAGAAAAGCAAAAGAAGAAAAGAAAAGAAGAUCAAGAAAAGAGAUCAAAGAAUUGAUUGUGGUCCAGACUUCGUUCAGAUUCACAAGCUGAUUUUUCUUGAAGAAGAAAAAUCAAUUUGAAGAAGACUAUUCCAGGUUGAUCUUGAGUGGAUACCCGU